CCGGCUUUGAACUUAAAUCGUUUUCACGUGGCUCGCGUGGAGGCGGAAUUGCUUUUAUUCAUUGGCGAGGUUUACCAUUAAAGUUCAUCUGCGAUGGUCCAUCGUAUCGUACAUUUGAAUCAGCCUCUGCUUUCAUCAGAUCCGUGUGAUCUGUAUCUAUCGACCACCACCUAACAAGAAAAAUAAAUUAACAUGUAAAGAAUUUUUCUAAGAAUUCCAAGAUCUACUCUUUCAACUAGAGCAAGCUGCCUCCCCCUUUUACGUCAUAGGGGCUUUCAACGUUCACUUUGAUGUUCCAUCUGCACCAGACACCUGACGCAUUGUUUCUCAAUUCUUGACGAUCAUAAUCUUAA